rnacentral:rRNA from 1 species
CACGUAGGGGGCGAGCGUUGUCCGGAAUCAUUGGGCGUAAAGGGCGCGUAGGUGGCCCGGUCAGUCUUUGGUGAAAGCGCGGGGGCUCAACCCUGCGUCGGCCAGGGAUACUGCCGCGGCUCGAGCACUGUAGAGGCAGGCGGAAUUCCGGGUGUAGCGGUGGAAUGCGUAGAGAUCCGGAAGAACACCGGUGGCGAAGGCGGCCUGCUGGGCAGUUUAGCUGACACUGAGCGCGACAGCGUGGGGGAGCAAACAGG